rnacentral:tRNA from 1 species
CUCUCAAAAGGUAGUUUAUUUAAAAUGUCGGUUUUGGGGACCGGUGAUGGGGCUUAUGAUGUCUCCCUUUUGA